AUUUGGCUGUGAUGACAAUUUUUUCAGCUUUAUGCCAGUUCUGCUUCUGAAAAUUCGUGAUUGAUAGAGCUGUAAUAUAUACUCUGAGCCUUUU